CGAGGGGGCGGGCUCGGGUGCGGGCGCGGCUGGGGCUGCGGCUUCAGGUUUUGCGAUCACAGCUCUGAGUCCCAAAAUAAUCCCUGGGGCUGGAGUGGGGGCGUGUGGCGUCGACUCUGACGGCCUAAUGAAGGGUCUCAGGCAGAGGAUGUGGAUCUAGCCGUGACAGCUCCUCGGGCAGGGAGCGGAGGACAAGAGAGAGCGGUUGCACGCCCCCCGCCCCCGCUCUGGCGAGGGUACAACCCCUGGAGUCACCAGACUUUGGCCCUGCUCUUCCCAUCAGGGACACACGCAGGAGACAGGCAGGAGUGCAGGCUGGGAGGGCCGACCCCCUCUAGCUCUUUGCCCCUCAUGUAUGCAGAAUCUGACCAGAUGAGUUUUUAA
rnacentral:lncRNA from 1 species